AUUGAACGCUGGCGGCAGGCCUAACACAUGCAAGUCGAGCGAGCGGCGGACGGGUGAGUAAUGUAUGGGGAUCUGCCUGAUGGAGGGGGAUAACUACUGGAAACGGUAGCUAAUACCGCAUACCAUCGGAUGUACCCAGAUGGGAUUAGCUUGUAGGUGAGGUAAUGGCUCACCUAGGCGACGAGCCCUAGCUGGUCUGAGCGGAUGACCAGCCACACUGGGACUGAGACACGGGCCAGACUCCUACGGGAGGCAGCAGUGGGGAAUAUUGCACAAUGGGCGCAAGCCUGAUGCAGCCAUGCCGCGUGGAUGAAGAAGGCCUUCGGGUUGUAAAGUACUUUCAGUGGGGAGGCGUUACCCGCAGAAGAAGCACCGGCUAACUCCGUGCCAGCAGCCGCGGUAAUAC
rnacentral:rRNA from 1 species